UACGAGGGGUGCAAGCGUUGCUCGGAAUCAUUGGGCGUAAAGGGUAGGUAGGUGGUCUCGUUUGUCUGGGGUGAAAGCCCAGGGCUUAACCCUGGAAGUGCCCCGGAAACGGCGAGACUGGAGUCUUGGAGAGGGUCGUGGAAUUCCCGGUGUAGCGGUGAAAUGCGUAGAGAUCGGGAGGAACACCAGAGGCGAAGGCGGCUUCCUGGUCCAGCACCGACGUUCAGGCACGAAAGCGUGGGGAGCAAACAGG
rnacentral:rRNA from 1 species